AGUAACAUGGCCGAAUUGUAAGUGAUAAAUUGUAAAUUUAUUUAUGGGUUAAUAUCCUGUUACUA
rnacentral:tRNA from 1 species